UACGUAGGGCGCAAGCGUUGUCCGGAAUUAUUGGGCGUAAAGAGCGCGUAGGCGGCCAGAUAAGUCCGCUGUGAAAUCUCGAGGCUCAACUUCGAGCUGUCGGUGGAAACUAUCUGGCUAGAGUCCGGAAGAGGAGAAUGGAAUUCCUGGUGUAGCGGUGAAAUGCGCAGAUAUCAGGAAGAACACCCGUGGCGAAGGCGGUUCUCUGGGACGGUACUGACGCUGAGACGCGAAAGCGUGGGGAGCGAACAGG
rnacentral:rRNA from 1 species